CCUACGGGUGGCAGCAGUGGGGAAUAUUGCACAAUGGGGGAAACCCUGAUGCAGCGACGCCGCGUGAGUGAAGAAGUAUUUCGGUAUGUAAAGCUCUAUCAGCAGGGAAGAAAAUGACGGUACCUGACUAAGAAGCCCCGGCUAACUACGUGCCAGCAGCCGCGGUAAUACGUAGGGGGCAAGCGUUAUCCGGAUUUACUGGGUGUAAAGGGAGCGUAGACGGCUGCACAAGUCUGAAGUGAAAGCCCAGGGCUUAACCACGGAACUGCGUUGGAAACUGGCGAGCUGGAGUGCAGGAGAGGUAAGCGGAAUGCCUAGUGUAGCGGUGAAAUGCAUAGAUAUUAGGAGGAACACCAGUGGCGAAGGCGGCAUACUGGACCGUAACUGACGUUGAGGCUCGAAAGCGUGGGGAGCAAACAGGAUUAGAUACCCCAGUAGUC
rnacentral:rRNA from 1 species